CGCGGGAUAGAGCAAUUGGCAGCUCGCAGGGCCCAUAACCCUGAGGUUCCCGGUUCGAGUCCGGGUCCCGCAACCA
rnacentral:tRNA from 1 species